AGGGAAUCUUCCGCAAUGGACGAAAGUCUGACGGAGCAACGCCGCGUGAGUGAUGAAGGUCUUCGGAUUGUAAAGCUCUGUCUUUUGGGACGAUAAUGACGGUACCAAAGGAGGAAGCCACGGCUAACUACGUGCCAGCAGCCGCGGUAAUACGUAGGUGGCGAGCGUUGUCCGGAUUUACUGGGCGUAAAGGGUGCGUAGGCGGAUGUUUAAGUGAGAUGUGAAAUACCCGGGCUUAACUUGGGUGCUGCAUUUCAAACUGGAUAUCUAGAGUGCAGGAGAGGAGAAUGGAAUUCCUAGUGUAGCGGUGAAAUGCGUAGAGAUUAGGAAGAACACCAGUGGCGAAGGCGGUUCUCUGGACUGUAACUGACGCUGAGGCACGAAAGCGUGGGUAGCAAAC
rnacentral:rRNA from 1 species